GGCGCUAUAGUGUAGUGGUUAUCACCCGGGAUUCUGACUCGCCAUCGUCGGAGAACAGUAUUCCCGUGACCCAGGUUCGAUCCCUGGUAGCGCCU